rnacentral:tRNA from 1 species
GCCCUCGUAGUCCAAUGGCAGAGGCACCCGGAUGAGAGCCGGGACAGUGCAAGUUCGAAUCUUGCCGAGGGCAC